rnacentral:rRNA from 1 species
GUCCACGCCGUAAACGUUGGGUGCUAGGUGUCGCGGGUAUUGACCCCUGCGGUGCCGGCGUUAACGCAUUUAGCACCCCGCCUGGGGAGUACGGUCGCAAGACUAAAACUCAAAGGAAUUGACGGGGCCCGCACAAGCGGUGGAGCAUGUGGUUUAAUUCGAAGCAACGCGCAGAACCUUACCUGGACUUGACAUCUGGGGAACCCCUCGGAAACGAGGGGGUGCCUUCGGGGAGCCCCCAAGACAGGUGCUGCAUGGCUGUCGU